AGACACAGUCAUACCACCCUGAGCACACCUACUUUUGUCUGAUCUUUGAAGCUAAGCGGAGUUAGGCCUAAUUAGUACAGGCAUACCUUGGAGAUACACCAGAUUUUGUUUG
ensembl:rRNA 5S_rRNA 5S ribosomal RNA